CUAGGAUUAGAUACCCUAUUAUUUAAAAUGUAAAAACUAAAGUAUUAAUAGUUAUAGUCUUUAAACUUAAAAAAUUUGGCGGUAUUUUAGUCUAUUCAGAGGAACCUGUUUUAUAAUCGAUAUUCCACGUUGGACCUUACUUUAAUUUAUAAAUUAGUUUAUAUACCGUCGUUAUAAAAAAUUUUAUAAGAAUAAUAAUUUUUAAAAUUAUAUAUCAGAUCAAGGUGUAGCUUAUAUUAAAGCAAAUAAUGGGUUACAAUAAAAUUAUUUAUAUGAAUAUAAAAAUGAAAAAUUUAUUAAAAGAGGAUUUGAAAGUAAAAUUAAAUAGAUUAUUAAUUUGAUUUUAGCUCUAAAAUAUGUACAUAUCGCCCGUCACUCUUAUUAUUAAAAUAAGAUAAG
rnacentral:rRNA from 1 species